rnacentral:rRNA from 1 species
UACAGAGGUCUCAAGCGUUGUUCGGAUUCAUUGGGCGUAAAGGGUGCGUAGGUGGCGCCGUAAGUCAGGUGUGAAAUUUCGGGGCUUAACUCCGAAACUGCAUUUGAUACUGCGGUGCUUGAGGACUGGAGAGGAGACUGGAAUUUACGGUGUAGCAGUGAAAUGCGUAGAGAUCGUAAGGAAGACCAGUGGCGAAGGCGGGUCUCUGGACAGUUCCUGACACUGAGGCACGAAGGCCAGGGGAGCAAACGGG